AAUGAACGCUAGCGACAUGCCUAACACAUGCAAGUCGAACGAAAAAUCAAUUUAUUGGUUUUUAGUGGCAAACGGGUGAGUAACGCGUAGGAAUUUGCCCUUUAGUGGGGAAUAACUAUAGGAAACUGUAGCUAAUACCGCAUGACCUUUGUAGUUAAUACAAAAGAAAGAUUUAUCGCUAAAGGAGAAGCCUGCGUCAGAUUAGGUUGUUGGUGAGGUAAUAGCUCACCAAGCCAAUGAUCUGUAGCUGGUCUGAGAGGAUGAUCAGCCACAUUGGGACUGAGAUACGGCCCAGACUCCUACGGGAGGCAGCAGUGGGGAAUAUUGGACAAUGAGGGAAACCUUGAUCCAGCAAUGUCGCGUGAAUGAAGAAGGCCUUUGGGUUGUAAAGUUCUUUCGCCUGUGAUGAUUAUGACAGUAGCAGGAAAAGAAGCCCCGGCUAACUCCGUGCCAGCCGCCGCCGUAACAC
rnacentral:rRNA from 1 species